GUCGACGAUUCACGUGUAGCAGUGAAAUGCAUAGAUAUUACUCAGAAUACCGAUUGCGAAGGCAGAUCACUAACAAUGAACUGACGCUGAUGGACGAAAGCGUAGGUAGCGAACAGGAUUAGAUACCCUGGUAGUCCACGCCGUAAACGAUGAGUGCUAGGUGUCGGGGGUCAAACCUCGGUGCCGGAGCUAACGCAAUAAGCACUCCGCCUGGGGAGUACGCUCGCAAGAGUAAAACUCAAAGGAAUUGACGGGGACCCGCACAAGUAGCGGAGCAUGUGGUUUAAUUCGAAGCAACGCGAAGAACCUUACCUAAACUUGACAUCCUUGUGAUCGGUCCUUAAUCGGACCUUCCCUUCGGGGCACAAGUGACAGGUGGUGCAUGGCUGUCGUCAGCU
rnacentral:rRNA from 1 species